rnacentral:rRNA from 1 species
UGAUGACGAGACGCUAAGGCGUUGAAGCAGUGUAUGUCAGACUUCCAAGAAAAGCUCGCAAUGUCAUAAAUAGAAAAUGCCUGUACCAUAACCGACACAGGUGGGUAGGUAGAGUAUACUAAGGGGCGCGAGAUAACUCUCUCUAAGGAACUCGGCAAAAUGACUCCGUAACUUCGGGAGAAGGAGUGCCUUAUUUAUAAGGUUGCAAUAACAAGAUCCAAGCAACUGUUUAUCAAAAACACAGGUCUCCGCUAAGUCGUAAGACGAUGUAUGGGGGCUGACGCCUGCCCAGUGCCAGAAGGUUAAAGAAGUUGGUUAGUGUAUGCGAAGCUGAUGACUGAAGCCCUGGUGAACGGCGGCCGUAACAAUAACGGUCCUAAGGUAGCGAAAUUCCUUGUCGGGUAAGUUCCGACCCGCACGAAAGGCGUAAUGAUUUGGAUACUGUCUCGGAGAGAGGCUCGGUGAAAUAGACUUGUCUGUGAAGAUGCGGACUACCUGCACCAGGACAGAAAGACCCUAUGAAGCUUUACUGUAACUUGAAAUUGGAAUUGGACUUUGCUUGCGCAGUAUAGGUGGGAAGCGUUGAAGAUAUUCUUGCGGGAGUAUUGGAGCUAUCAGUGAGAUACCACUCUUGUAAUGUUAGAUUUCUAACUUUGAACCAUAAUCUGGUCAAAGAACAGUUUCAGGUGGGCAGUUUGACUGGGGCGGUCGCCUCCCAAAUGGUAACGGAGGCGUACAAAGGUUUCCUCUGAACGGAUAGAAAUCGUAUCUAGAGUGUAAAGGCAUAAGGAAGCUUGACUGUGAGACCUACAAGUCGAGCAGGGACGAAAGUCGGUCUUAGUGAUCUGACGGUACUGAGUGGAAAGGCCGUCACUCAACGGAUAAAAGUUACUCUAAGGAUAACAGGCUGAUCUCCCCCAAGAGUUCACAUCGACGGGGAGGUUUGGCACCUCGAUGUCGGCUCAUCGCAUCCUGGGGCGGUAGUACGUCCCAAGGGUUGGGCUGUUCGCCCAUGAAAGCGGUACGCGAGCUGGGUUCAGAACGUCGUGAGACAGUUCGGUCCAUAUCCGGUGUAGGCGCUAGAAUAUUGAGAGGAGCCUUCUUUAGUACGAGAGGACCGAGAAGGACACACCGCUGGUGUACCAGUUAUCGUGCCAACGGUAAACGCUGGGUAGCUAUGUGUGGAGUGGAUAACCGCUGAAAGCAUCUAAGUGGGAAGCCCACCUCAAGAUGAGUAUUCCC